rnacentral:rRNA from 1 species
AACGAACGCUGGCGGCAGGCUUAACACAUGCAAGUCGAGCGCCCCGCCAGGGGAGCGGCAGACGGGUGAGUAACGCGUGGGAACGUACCCUUAUCUUCGGGAUAGCCCCGGGAAACUGGAAUUAAUACCGAAUGUGCCCUUUGGGGGAAAGAUUUAUCGGAUAAGGAUCGGCCCGCGUUGGAUUAGCUAGUUGGUGGGGUAAAGGCCUACCAAGGCGACGAUCCAUAGCUGGUCUGAGAGGAUGAUCAGCCACAUUGGGACUGAGACACGGCCCAAACUCCUACGGGAGGCAGCAGUGGGGAAUAUUGGACGAUGGGCGCAAGCCUGAUCCAGCCAUGCCGCGUGAGUGAUGAAGGCCUUAGGGUUGUAAAGCUCUUUCACCGGAGAAGAUAAUGACGGUAUCCGGAGAAGAAGCCCCGGCUAACUUCGUG